rnacentral:rRNA from 1 species
AGCGAACGUUAGCGGCGGGCCUAACACAUGCAAGUCGAGCGAGAAAGGGGCUUCGGCCCUGAGUAAAGCGGCGGACGGGUGAGUAACACGUAGGUAAUCUUCCCCUGAGCGGGGGACAACGGUCCGAAAGGACCGCUAAUACCGCAUACGUUUCUGAAGACUCCGGUCCUUGGAAGGAAAGCUAGGUCGCAAGAUCCGGCACUCGAGGAGGAGCCUGCGUCGCAUCAGCUAGUUGGUGGGGUAAUGGCCUACCAAGGCGAAGACGCGUAGCUGGUCUGAGAGGAUGAUCAGCCACACUGGGACUGAGACACGGCCCAGACUCCUACGGGAGGCAGCAGUGGGGAAUAUUGGACAAUGGGCGCAAGCCUGAUCCAGCCACGCCGCGUGAGUGAUGAAGGCCUUCGGGUCGUAAAGCUCUGUGGGGAGGGACGAACCGCUGCACGUGCAUAGCGUGCAGCAUGACGGUACCUCCUUAGCAAGCACCGGCUAACUUCGUGCCAGCCGCCGCCGUAA